rnacentral:sRNA from 1 species
GCAGUUGCUCAUUCAUCUUUUUAUGUCGGCCCGCAAUGAGGUGGGAACAUCCACAUAAAGCCCAGAAUGACGCCGAAGUAAGGUGCCUACCGUCCAACUUAAUGAUACUCGCCUUCGGGCCUUAUCAAACACAGGGCGACACGUGGAGUGAGGCACCACCUACAUGUUCAUUGAAUAGCAUGAAGGUUCCUCAUU